rnacentral:rRNA from 1 species
CCUACGGGUGGCUGCAGUGGGGAAUAUUGGACAAUGGGGGGAACCCUGAUCCAGCCAUGCCGCGUGUGUGAAGAAGGCCCUCGGGUUGUAAAGCACUUUCAGUGAGGAAGAACGCCUGGUGGUUAAUACCCAUCAGGAAAGACAUCACUCACAGAAGAAGCACCGGCUAACUCCGUGCCAGCAGCCGCGGUAAUACGGAGGGUGCGAGCGUUAAUCGGAAUUACUGGGCGUAAAGCGCGCGUAGGUGGCUUGAUAAGCCGGUUGUGAAAGCCCCGGGCUCAACCUGGGAGACGGCAUCCGGAACUGUGAAGCUAGAGGGGAGGAGAGGAAGGUAGAAUUCCCGGUGUAGCGGUGAAAUGCGGAGAGAUCGGGAGGAAUACCAGUGGCGAAGGCGGCCUUCUGGACUGACACUGACACUGAGGUGCGAAAGCGUGGGUAGCAAACCGGAUUAGAUACACCGGUAGUC